rnacentral:rRNA from 1 species
GAUGAACGCUGGCGGCGUGCCUAAUACAUGCAAGUCGAGCGAACAGACGAGGAGCUUGCUCCUCUGACGUUAGCGGCGGACGGGUGAGUAACACGUGGAUAACCUACCUAUAAGACUGGGAUAACUUCGGGAAACCGGAGCUAAUACCGGAUAAUAUAUUGAACCGCAUGGUUCAUUAGUGAAAGACGGUUUUGCUGUCACUUAUAGAUGGAUCCGCGCCGCAUUAGCUAGUUGGUAAGGUAACGGCUUACCAAGGCAACGAUGCGUAGCCGACCUGAGAGGGGGAUCGGCCACACUGGAACUGAGACACGGUCCAGACUCCUACGGGAGGCAGCAGUAGGGAAUCUUCCGCAAUGGGCGAGAGCCUGACGGAGCAACGCCGCGUGAGUGGUGAAGGUCUUCGGAUCGUAAAACUCUGUUAUUAGGGAAGAACAAAUGUGUAAGUAACUAUGCACGUCUUGACGGUACCUAAUCAGAAAGCCACGGCUAACUACGUG